rnacentral:rRNA from 1 species
AUUGAACGCUGGCGGUAGGCCUAACACAUGCAAGUCGAACGGCAGCACAGUAAGAGCUUGCUCUUACGGGUGGCGAGUGGCGGACGGGUGAGGAAUACAUCGGAAUCUACUUUUUCGUGGGGGAUCACGUAGGGAAACUUACGCUAAUACCGCAUACGACCUACGGGUGAAAGCAGGGGAUCUUCGGACCUUGCGCGAGUGAAUGAGCCGAUGUCGGAUUAGCUAGUUGGCGGGGUAAAGGCCCACCAAGGCGACGAUCCGUAGCUGGUCUGAGAGGAUGAUCAGCCACACUGGAACUGAGACACGGUCCAGACUCCUACGGGAGGCAGCAGUGGGGAAUAUUGGACAAUGGGCGCAAGCCUGAUCCAGCCAUGCCGCGUGGGUGAAGAAGGCCUUCGGGUUGUAAAGUCCUUUUGUUGGGAAAGAAAAGCAGCAGGUUAAUACCUCGCUGUUCUGACGGUACCCAAAGAAUAAGCACCGGCUAACUUCGUG